rnacentral:rRNA from 1 species
UACAGAGACUGCAAGCGUUAUUCGGAUUCACUGGGCGUAAAGGGUGCGCAGGCGGCCAAGUGUGUGAGGCGUGAAAGCCCGGGGCUUAACCCCGGAAUUGCACCUCAAACUACAUGGCUGAGAGCAUUGGAGAGGGUAGCGGAAUUCACGGUGUAGCAGUGAAAUGCGUAGAUAUCGUGAGGAACACCAGAGGCGAAGGCGGCUACCUGGACAAUUGCUGACGCUCAGGCACGAAAGCGUGGGGAGCAAACAGG